AUGUCCACAUAUUUGGAUAGUAACCAGGCGUACCUCCAAAUCCCUGCAUUUAGUUGACCUCUUGCUAUGCUUGGAUUGAUUCCAUUCUUUGUUUUGACAGGAUUGACUUUCCUGUAGGGAUUGAGGUGAUUUGAUGGUACGCGGUGUAAUCCGUGGGGAUCAUGUCCAUUGUGCCUUAGCUUACAUGAAACUUGGAAGUUAGCUUAAGUCAUUAUUAUUUGGAAUCAUUAUAUGGACACAGAACAUGCUAGCCUCUUGUGGGUAAACUAUUACUGGAAAUUCUGUGGACAGACACCAACACACAAGCACAAACAGGUAAACAAGGAUGGUUACUGCAAGAAGAGUAUAUUUUCCUUUUGUCUAUCAGAUGCAGCCAUUUGCUUUCUACUUGGUUCGUUCAGAGCCUGUGUCAAAUAGCUAGAUUUAUUUUUAAAAUUUCAUAGGUGCAAACUGUGUAAUCUACUCUUUUGAUUAUUCAUGAACAUACUUUAGUACUUUGCAUGUUUAUUUGAAUUGAUAUUCCA